rnacentral:rRNA from 1 species
GACGAACGCUGGCGGCGUGCUUAACACAUGCGAGUCGAACGGAAAGGCCCUGCUUUUGUGGGGUGCUCGAGUGGCGAACGGGUGAGUAACACGUGAGUAACCUGCCCUUGACUUUGGGAUAACUUCAGGAAACUGGGGCUACUACCGGAUAGGAGCUCCUGCUGCAUGGUGGGGGUUGGAAAGUUUCGGCGGUUGGGGAUGGACUCGCGGUUUAUCAGCUUGUUGGUGGGGUAGUGGCUUACCAAGGCUUUGACGGGUAGCCGGCCUGAGAGGGUGACCGGCCACAUGGGGACUGAGAGACGGCCCAGACUCCUACGGGGGGCAGCGGGGGGGAAUAUGGCACAAUGGGCGGAAGCCUGAGGCAGCAACGCCGCGUGCGGGAUGACGGCCUUCGGGUUGUAAACCGCUUUCGCCUGUGACGAAGCGGGAGUGACGGUAAUGGGUAAAGAAGCACCGGCUAACUACGUG